CCCACUAUUUUUUCUCCCAGUUUUGUUCCCAGGCAGACAUUUGGACUUGGGCUGAAGACGUUUGUGGAACCAAGGCGUAAUUUCAGGGAUCUCUUUCUCACUUCGGCUAGGAAGCGAGAUAAGUUUUAACCUCACGGGCAACACAGACUCUCGGAGAAGUGAUUGUAUCGCCAUAGUGACAAUAGAAAGCAAGCACGCGCUGUUUGUGCUAUCAGGGUCCACAGCAGUUAUGGUGCCAACCUGGGUACCAAUAGCUGAGUUUUCAUAUGUGUCCAUAAUGUAGUAGUCCAUGGAGAACACAGGAGGUUCAUCCACAUCCCCCACAAUGACUCGAAGUGAUGUGGAAUCCUUAAACGGCCCCAGGUGUGAAAAGCUGGCGUCUAGAAGUUCCUGGUUGAACCUCCCGCUGUGAGAGCUGCGUGCCUGUAUGUUUUCCUCCC